rnacentral:lncRNA from 1 species
AUGGUCCACAAGUGGCUGAUUGGAUGCUCAAGCGGAGUCCAUUUCUUGCAUAAUUAAUUUGGGUGAGAUCAUGGUUUUGAUUUUCACAUGGGACACAUUGCCUCAGGCCAAGAAUAAUAAUGAACAUUUAUGGAAAGCUGCCUCAUUCAGGAACCCAAUUAAGCACUUUAAAAAGACCAUCCCAGUUAAUUUCCUCCACAACUCUGUGAAGCGUAAGAGUUGUAUUACCCCAUUGCAUCACUUUUCUAUUACCACAAUAAUUCUGUAUAAAAACACCCCAAAACUUAGUGGUUCAAAAUUACCACCUAUUAUUUGCUUAUGAUUCUGUGAGUAACUGAGGCUGGGCUCAACUGGGGAGUCCUGAUUUCUGCUGGGCUUCUUCCUCUUGUGUCUGUGGCCAGCUACAGGUCAGCGAGGCACCGUGGCUUUUGGGAGUUGGCUGGCUGUUGGCUGGAGAGAUGGGAAUUUUUGAUCUAUGUGGUCUCUCAGCCUCCAACAGGCUGGCCUGGGCUUAUUUACAUGUAGUGGGGUGGAGGUGGUGUUGAGAGUAGGAGACAGGUGGAGCAGAGAGAAAGGCAAUAGAAAGGCCAAGGCUUUGUGGAGGUCUGCCUCAAAAUUGCACAUUACUUUGCCACAUUCUUUUGGCCAGAACAAACCAGAAGGUCAGCCCAGAUUUAAGGAGUAGGAAUAAAGACCCCACAUCUUGAGAGGAGCUGAAAAGUCACACUGCAAAGGGCAUGAAUACAAAGAAAAGUGGCCAGGUGCUCUGGCCCAUGCUUGCAAUCCCAGCACUUUGGGAGGCUGAGGAGGGCAGAUCGCCUGAGGUCUCAAGUUCGGGACCAGCCUGGCCAAGAUGGUAAAACCCCAUCUCUACUAAAAACACAAAAUUUAGCCAGGCAUGGUGGUGGGUGCCUGUAAUCCCAACUACUUGGGAGGCUGAGGUACGAGAACCUCUUGAACCUGGGAGGUGGAGGUUGCAGUGAGCCAAGAUGGUGCCAGUGCACUCCAGCCUGGGUGACAGGGCAAAACUCUGUCUCAAAAAAAAAAA